rfam:Otolemur garnettii contig041817, whole genome shotgun sequence.
GCUCACUGGUGCAUCUGUAGUCCUAGCUACAUGGGAGGCUGAGACAGGAGGAUUGCUUGAGUCCAGGAGUUCUGGGCUCUAACACGCUAUGCUGAUUGGGUGUCUGCCCUAAGUUCGGCACCAAUAUGGUGACCUCCUGGGAGUGGGGGGCCACAAGGUUGCCUAAGGAGGGGUGAACAGGCCCAGAUCAGAAACAGAGCUGGUCAAAAAUCCCAUGCUGAUCAGUAUUGGGAUUGCACCUGUGAACAGCCACUGCACUUCAGCCUGGGCAGCAUAGUGAGACCCCAUCUCUA